rnacentral:misc_RNA from 1 species
AAGGUUUUCCAUAGAACAAGGAGUGCUUAUGCUCCUAAUCCUAUCUGGAAUCAGAAGUUUGAAGUUGAUGAGAUUGGAGGAGGUGAAUACCUUAAGAUUAAAUGCUUUAGUGAAGAAAUCUUUGGAGAUGAUAACAUUGGUAGUGCACAAGUAAAUAUGGAAGGACUGGUUGAGGGUUCAAUCAGGGAUGUGUGGGUUCCGCU